rnacentral:rRNA from 1 species
UAACGCGAAGAACCUUACCAGGCCUUGACAUCCAAUGAACUUUCUAGAGAUAGAUUGGUGCCUUCGGGAACAUUGAGACAGGUGGUGCAUGGUUGUCGUCAGCUCGUGUCGUGAGAUGUUGGGUUAAGUCCCGCAACGAGCGCAACCCUUAUUACUAGUUACCAGCAUUAAGUUGGGCACUCUAGUGAGACUGCCGGUGACAAACCGGAGGAAGGUGGGGACGACGUCAAAUCAUCAUGCCCCUUAUGACCUGGGCUACACACGUGCUACAAUGGAUGGUACAACGAGUUGCGAGACCGCGAGGUUUAGCUAAUCUCUUAAAACCAUUCUCAGUUCGGAUUGUAGGCUGCAACUCGCCUACAUGAAGCCGGAAUCGCUAGUAAUCGCGGAUCAGCAUGCCGCGGUGAAUACGUUCCCGGGCCUUGUACACACCG